UUUGUUGUAGUCCUGACGAAGUCAUCUUCAGUCCUGAAGUCCAUCAAGCCUUGUAUUGCCAUCUCUUAUCCGGAAUCCUCUUCAGAGACCAAGUGCAAUACGUCUUUGCCUCCUUCGCUCACGGUCUUGUCCACGCGUUUAGAACCUUUGAACAGCUUUGGGAAGAGGUCGUUACCGAUAUAGAAGACGGCGUCUUGAGCAGCCGUAUCACCGUCCCAUCGGUACGUACCGCAAUGGCCAAGCUCCUCAGUGGUCCUAACCCUGAGCUAGCGGAGACUAUACGAACCAAGUGUAUGAGUUUGAGCAACUGGUACGGGUUGAUCCCCGCGCUGUUCCCGAACGCGAAGUAUGUUUAUGGGAUCAUGACUGGCUCCAUGGAGCCGUAUGUGAAGAAGCUGAGGCAUUACGCUGGUGAGCUACCUCUUGUGAGUCAUGACUACGGUAGCUCCGAAGGAUGGAUUGCUGCUAACGUUAGGCCGAGAUUGUCUCCAGAGGAAGCUACGUUUGCUGUUGUUCCGAAUCUUGGUUACUUCGAGUUUCUCCCUUUGUCUGAAACAGGGGAAACAGAGGAGAGACCACCGGUUGGUUUAACUGAAGUCAAGGUAGGACAAGAGUAACUUUCCCUUUCUGGAUGCUCAGAUACAUAAAGAGCUUAAAGCUUCUUUUUUUGAACUUUGCUUAAAGUUUCUUCUUUCAUUAUAUUAUCACACUAGAUAUCUCUGCAAAUCUGUCAGAAUCUCUGCCGUCUUUUGCUAAAUACUAUGAGAAUCUAAUACGCUUUGUCUCCAGCUAUUUUUAUAAAACUAUUGCCACUUUCUUUUUUUUCUGAACUCAGGAUGUUGGAGAAAAAGGUUGAGACUUUCAACAUGAACAGAGUCAUCGACGAGUUCGAGGAAAUGACAAGAAACGCUGACCAAGUCCAGAAACAAACCCUCAAAGAGAUUCUACACAAGAACCAAUCCGCCAUCUACUUACAAAACUUUGGUAUCAAUGGAAACACAACUGACCCAGAAGCUUUCAAAGCAUUGGUUCCAUUAGUCACUGAUCUUGAUUUAGAGCCUUACAUCAAAAGAAUGGUGGACGGUGACACUUCUCCUAUUCUCACAGCCCUUCCCGUUCCAGCCAUCUCCUUAAGGUUUCCCUUUGACAUAAGAACAUCCCUUCUGCCUUCUAAAUAUGAAUGAUUAUAUGUUUCUCAGAGAUUUUGUGUGUUUCUCUGUUGUGAUCAACAGCUCUGGAACUAGUCAAGGCCGUCCUAAGUUUAUUCCUUUCACUGAUGAGUUAAUGGAGAACACAUUACAACUCUUUCGCACUGCUUUUGCCUUCAGAAACAGGUACCACUUUCCUCUAUUCCAUUCAUUUAUUACACAUAAACAUAGUUAAACAACGUCUAACUCAGUUCCUUCAAAAUAAAAUUUAUAGUGUUUUUACAUAUAUUAAAAAAAAAACAAAUUAAAUCACUAUUAUAAAUGCAUCAUAUUUUGCAAUUAUCAAUUUCUAGUAACUUUUAACCAAUAAAAUUUGUAGUGUUGUUUUACUAAAAACAUCUAUCUUUAAAAGUAACAGAGGGAGGACUAAGUGUGUCUGUGUGUGCUGUCUUUAAAACAUGGUUGAUGUUUCAUUUAUACAGAGACUUCCCAAUUGAUGACAACGGGAGAGCUUUGCAGUUUAUCUUCAGCAGCAAGCAAUACAUAUCAAAGGGAGGUGUCCCUGUCGGAACAGCAACCACAAACGUUUACCGUAACCCUAACUUCAAAGCAGGGAUGAAGGCUAUACAGUCCCUUUGUUGUAGUCCUGACGAAGUCAUCUUCAGUCCUGAAGUCCAUCAAGCCUUGUAUUGCCAUCUCUUAUCCGGAAUCCUCUUCAGAGACCAAGUGCAAUACGUCUUUGCCUCCUUCGCUCACGGUCUUGUCCACGCGUUUAGAACCUUUGAACAGCUUUGGGAAGAGGUCGUUACCGAUAUAGAAGACGGCGUCUUGAGCAGCCGUAUCACCGUCCCAUCGGUACGUACCGCAAUGGCCAAGCUCCUCAGUGGUCCUAACCCUGAGCUAGCGGAGACUAUACGAACCAAGUGU
rnacentral:lncRNA from 1 species